GAUGAACGCUCGCGCUAGGCUUAACACAUGCAAGUCGAGGGGCAGCAUGGUCUUAGCUUGCUAAGACUGAUGGCGACCGGCGCACGGGUGCGUAACGCGUAUGCAACUUGCCUCACAGAGGGGGAUAACCCGUCGAAAGACGGACUAAUACCGCGUACACUUGGGAUAGGGCAUCCUGACCCAAGGAAAUGAAAUUCGCUGUGAGAUAGGCAUGCGUCCCAUUAGCUAGUUGGUGAGGUAACGGCUCACCAAGGCGACGAUGGGUAGGGGAACUGAGAGGUUGAACCCCCACACUGGUACUGAGACACGGACCAGACUCCUACGGGAGGCAGCAGUGAGGAAUAUUGGUCAAUGGGCGAGAGCCUGAACCAGCCAAGUCGCGUGAAGGAUGACUGUCUUAUGGAUUGUAAACUUCUUUUAUACGGGAAUAACAAGAGCCACGUGUGGCUCCCUGCAUGUACCGUAUGAAUAAGCAUCGGCUAACUCCGUG
rnacentral:rRNA from 1 species